GAGGAAUAUUGCGCAAUGGGGGCAACCCUGACGCAGCAACGCCGCGUGAGUGAGGAAGGUUUUCGGACCGUAAAGCUCUGUCGAGUGGGAAGAAGUGUAUCAUGGCUAAUAUCCGUGAUAUUUGACGGUACCGCUAGAGGAAGCACCGGCUAACUCCGUGCCAGCAGCCGCGGUAAUACGGGGGGUGCAAGCGUUGUUCGGAAUUAUUGGGCGUAAAGAGCGUGUAGGCGGCCGAGCAAGUCAGAUGUGAAAUCCCCGGGCUUAACCCGGGAAGUGCAUUUGAAACUGCUAGGCUUGAGUAGGGGAGAGGAAAGUGGAAUUCCUGGUGUAGAGGUGAAAUUCGUAGAUAUCAGGAGGAACACCGGUGGCGAAGGCGACUUUCUGGCCCUAUACUGACGCUGAGACGCGAGAGCGUGGGUAGCAAAC
rnacentral:rRNA from 1 species